AGCGAACGCUGGCGGCAGGCCUAACACAUGCAAGUCGAACGAACUCUUCGGAGUUAGUGGCGGACGGGUGAGUAACACGUGGGAACGUGCCUUUUGGUUCGGAAUAACUCAGGGAAACUUGUGCUAAUACCGAAUGUGCCCUUCGGGGGAAAGAUUUAUCGCCAUUAGAGCGGCCCGCGUCUGAUUAGCUAGUUGGUGAGGUAACGGCUCACCAAGGCGACGAUCAGUAGCUGGUCUGAGAGGAUGACCAGCCACACUGGGACUGAGACACGGCCCAGACUCCUACGGGAGGCAGCAGUUGGGAAUCUUGCGCAAUGGGCGAAAGCCUGACGCAGCCAUGCCGCGUGAAUGAUGAAGGUCUUAGGAUUGUAAAAUUCUUUCACCGGGGACGAUAAUGACGGUACCCGGAGAAGAAGCCCCGGCUAACUUCGUG
rnacentral:rRNA from 1 species